rnacentral:rRNA from 1 species
GAUGAACGCUGGCGGCGUGCCUAACACAUGCAAGUCGAGCGAACCUUUCGGGGUGAGCGGCGGACGGGUGAGUAACGCGUGGGUAACCUGCCCUAUACACACGGAUAACGUACCGAAAGGUACGCUAAUACGGGAUAAAGUUGUUGGAUGGCAUCUUCUAACAAUCAAAGCUCCGGCGGUAUAGGAUGGACCCGCGUCUGAUUAGCUAGUUGGUGAGGUAAUGGCUCACCAAGGCGACGAUCAGUAGCCGACCGGAGAGGGUGAUCGGGCCACACUGGAACUGGGACACGGUCCAGACUCCUACGGGAGGCAGCAGUGGGGAAUAUUGCACAAUGGGCGAAAGCCUGAUGCAGCAACGCCGCGUGAGCGAUGAAGGUCUUCGGAUCGUAAAGCUCUGUCCUCAAGGAAGAUAAUGACGGUACUUGAGGAGGAAGCCCCGGCUAACUACGUGCCAGCCGCCGCAGUAA